AUACGUAGGGUGCAAGCGUUAAUCGGAAUUACUGGGCGUAAAGCGUGCGCAGGCGGUUUUGUAAGACAGUGGUGAAAUCCCCGGGCUCAACCUGGGAACUGCCAUUGUGACUGCAAGGCUGGAGUGCGGCAGAGGGGGAUGGAAUUCCGCGUGUAGCAGUGAAAUGCGUAGAUAUGCGGAGGAACACCGAUGGCGAAGGCAAUCCCCUGGGCCUGCACUGACGCUCAUGCACGAAAGCGUGGGGAGCAAACAGGAUUAGAUACCCUGGUAGUCCACGCCCUAAACGAUGUCAACUGGUUGUUGGGGAUUUAUUUUCUCAGUAACGAAGCUAACGCGUGAAGUUGACCGCCUGGGGAGUACGGCCGCAAGGUUAAAACUCAAAGGAAUUGACGGG
rnacentral:rRNA from 1 species